rnacentral:rRNA from 1 species
GAGUUUGAUCUUGGCUCAGGAUGAACGCUAGCGGCAGGCUUAAUACAUGCAAGUCGUGGGGCAGCAGGGUUGUAGCAAUACAAUCGCUGGCGACCGGCAAACGGGUGCGUAACACGUACGCAACCUUCCCGUUACUGUGGCAUAGCCCAGGGAAACUUGGAUUAAUACCACAUAUUAUAUUGAGGGGGCAUCCUCUUGAUAUCAAAGCUUCGGCGGUAACGGAUGGGCGUGCGGUUGAUUAGGGUAGUUGGCGGGGUAACGGCCCACCAAGCCUACGAUCAAUAGCU